GACGAACGCUGGCGGCGUGCUUAACACAUGCAAGUCGAACGAAGAGCGAUGGAAGCUUGCUUCUAUCAAUCUUAGUGGCGAAUGGGUGAGUAACGCGUAAUCAACCUGCCCUUCAGAGGGGGACAACAGUUGGAAACGACUGCUAAUACCGCAUACGAUCUAAUCUCGGCAUCGAGGAUAGAUGAAAGGUGGCCUCUACAUGUAAGCUAUCACUGAAGGAGGGGAUUGCGUCUGAUUAGCUAGUUGGAGGGGUAACGGCCCACCAAGGCGAUGAUCAGUAGCCGGUCUGAGAGGAUGAACGGCCACAUUGGGACUGAGACACGGCCCAGACUCCUACGGGAGGCAGCAGUGGGGAAUCUUCCGCAAUGGACGAAAGUCUGACGGAGCAACGCCGCGUGAGUGAUGACGGCCUUCGGGUUGUAAAGCUCUGUUAAUCGGGACGAAAGGCCUUCUUGCGAAUAGUGAGAAGGAUUGACGGUACCGGAAUAGAAAGCCACGGCUAACUACGUG
rnacentral:rRNA from 1 species